UAGUCAUAUGCUUGUCUCAAAGAUUAAGCCAUGCAUGUCUAAGUAUAAGCACUUGUACUGUGAAACUGCGAAUGGCUCAUUAAAUCAGUUAUCGUUUAUUCGAUUGUACCUUUACUACAUGGAUAACUGUGGUAAUUCUAGAGCUAAUACAUGCGAAAAGUCCCGACUUCUGGAAGGGAUGCAUUUAUUAGACUAAAAACCAAUGCGGGUAAAACCGUUUACUUGGUGAUUCAUGAUAACUUGUCGAAUCGCAUGGCCUUGCGCCGGCGAUGUUUCGUUCAAAUUUCUGCCCUAUCAACUGUCGAUGGUAAGGUAGUGGCUUACCAUGGUUGUAACGGGUGACGGAGAAUUAGGGUUCGAUUCCGGAGAGGGAGCCUGAGAAAUGGCUACCACAUCUAAGGAAGGCAGCAGGCACGAAAAUUACCCAAUCCCGACUCGGGGAGGUAGUGACAAGAAAUAACAAUACGGGGCCUUUAUAGGUCUCGCAAUUGGAAUGAGUACAAUUUAAAUCCUUUAACGAGGAUCAAUU
rnacentral:rRNA from 1 species